rnacentral:rRNA from 1 species
UCCAGACUCCUACGGGAGGCAGCAGUGGGGAAUAUUGGGCAAUGGGCGCAAGCCUGACCCAGCAAUGCCGCGUGAAGGAAGAAGGCCUUCGGGUUGUAAACUUCUUUUAUCAGGGACGAAGGAUGUGACGGUACCUGAUGAAUAAGCUCCGGCUAACUACGUGCCAGCAGCCGCGGUAAUACGUAGGGGGCAAGCGUUAUCCGGAUUUACUGGGUGUAAAGGGGGCGCAGACGGCAGCGCAAGCCAGGAGUGAAAGCCCGGGGCCCAACCCCGGGACUGCUCUUGGAACUGCGCGGCUGGAGUGCAGGAGGGGCAGGCGGAAUUCCUAGUGUAGCGGUGAAAUGCGUAGAUAUUAGGAGGAACACCAGUGGCGAAGGCGGCUUACUGGACGGCAACUGACGCUGAGGCUCGAAAGCGUGGGGAGCAAACAGGAUUAGACCGCGUACC